GCUUAUUCCUUCCAUUCUUCUCUAUAUACGUUGGUGUUCUAACCAAUAAUCACCAAUACGAUAUUCUGUCCGAUCGAUUCAGGAACCAACUAACGAAUGACAAAGUGCUGUCUAAAUAAGACUAUACUUUGUGAAUUUCAUUAAGGUUCUGAUCUCGUGACCAUCGUUAGGUUUGAUAUGGUUUUAAACUAAAACGUAUUCCACUCUGUUAAACUAUAUGUUUAACUAUCAGAAAACUCCAAUCCAUAAACUUACUAUCAAACAAGAUGUUUAAUCAUCAUAAGAUUCAGAGCUAUAAAGUAGAUGCUUAGAGUCAAGAGGCUUGUUUAAUCAAGACUAUAUGCUAACAAGGUGAUUACAGUAGAUCGGAAUAAGAGUUGUG
rnacentral:lncRNA from 1 species